rnacentral:rRNA from 1 species
CGCUUUCACUCCUACGGGAGGCAGCAGUGGGGAAUAUUGCACAAUGGGCGCAAGCCUGAUGCAGCCAUGCCGCGUGUAUGAAGAAGGCCUUCGGGUUGUAAAGUACUUUCAGCAGUGAGGAAGGCGGAGUCGUUAAUAGCGGCCUCGUUUGACGUUAGCUGCAGAAGAAGCACCGGUUAACUCCGUGCCAGCAGCCGCGGUAAUACGGAGGGUGCGAGCGUUAAUCGGAAUUACUGGGCGUAAAGCGCAUGCAGGUGGUUUGUUAAGUCAGAUGUGAAAGCCCGGGGCUCAACCUCGGAAUUGCAUUUGAAACUGGCAGACUAGAGUACUGUAGAGGGGGUAGAAUUUCAGGUGUAGCGGUGAAAUGCGUAGAGAUCUGAAGGAAUACCGGUGGCGAAGGCGGCCCCCUGGACAGAUACUGACACUCAGAUGCGAAAGCGUGGGGAGCAAACAGGAUUAGAUACCCUGGUAG